rnacentral:rRNA from 1 species
GACGAACGCUGGCGGCGUGCUUAACACAUGCAAGUCGAACGGAAAGGCCCUGCUUUUGUGGGGUGCUCGAGUGGCGAACGGGUGAGUAACACGUGAGUAACCUGCCCUUGACUGUGGGAUAACUUCAGGAAACUGGGGCUAAUACCGGAUAGGAGCUCCUGCUGCAUGGUGGGGGUUGGAAAGUUUCGGCGGUUGGGGAUGGACUCGCGGCUUAUCAGCUUGUUGGUGGGGUAGUGGCUUACCAAGGCUUUGACGGGUAGCCGGCCUGAGAGGGUGACCGGCCACCUUGGGACUGCGGUACGGCCCAGACUCCUACGGGAGGCAGCAGUGGGGAAUAUUGCACAAUGGGCGGAAGCCUGAUGCAGCGACGCCGCGUGCGGGAUGACGGCCUUCGGGUUGUAAACCGCUUUCGCCUGUGACGAAGCGUGAGUGACGGUAAUGGGUAAAGAAGCACCGGCUAACUACGUG